rnacentral:rRNA from 1 species
GACGAACGCUGGCGGCGUGCCUAAUACAUGCAAGUAGAACGCUGAAGGAGGAGCUUGCUUCUCUGGAUGAGUUGCGAACGGGUGAGUAACGCGUAGGUAACCUGCCUGGUAGCGGGGGAUAACUAUUGGAAACGAUAGCUAAUACCGCAUAAGAGAAGAUGUUGCAUGACAUUUGCUUAAAAGGUGCAAUUGCAUCACUACCAGAUGGACCUGCGUUGUAUUAGCUAGUUGGUGGGGUAACGGCUCACCAAGGCGACGAUACAUAGCCGACCUGAGAGGGGGAUCGGCCACACUGGGACUGAGACACGGCCCAGACUCCUACGGGAGGCAGCAGUAGGGAAUCUUCGGCAAUGGACGGAAGUCUGACCGAGCAACGCCGCGUGAGUGAAGAAGGUUUUCGGAUCGUAAAGCUCUGUUGUAAGAGAAGAACGAGUGUGAGAGUGGAAAGUUCACACUGUGACGGUAUCUUACCAGAAAGGGACGGCUAACUACGUG